rnacentral:tRNA from 7 species
GGAGGCUUAGCUCAGCUGGGAGAGCAUCUGCCUUACAAGCAGAGGGUCGGCGGUUCGAUCCCGUCAGCCUCCAUCA